AGGAGAUGUCCUGGACUCACACAGAAACUCAGGGCUAUGGAAUGAAGGGCAAGCUCACUCUCUGGCAACAAGCUCCCUGGGGUGAUUUUUCUUCUAGAAGAGUCCACGGGGACAGGCUGCCCCAGUUCUCACUCCCAUUGAGUGUCGGGUUUCUAGAGAAGCCAAUCAAUGUAGCCGCGGUCCCGGUUCUAAAGUUCCCACGCACCCACCGGGACUCCGAUUCUUCCCAGUCGCCGAGGAUGGUGUCAUGGCGCCCCGAACCCUGCUUCUGCUGCUCUCGGGGGCCCUGGUCCUGACCCAGACCUGGGCAGGCUUCCACUCCUUGAGGUAUUUCCACACCACCAUGUCCCGGCCCGGCCGCGCGGAUCCCCGCUUCCUCUCCGUGGGCGACGUGGACGACACGCAGUGCGUGCGGCUCGACAGCGACGCCACGAGUCCCAGGAUGGAGCCGCGGGCGCCGUGGAUGGAGCAGGAGGGGCCGGAAUAUUGGGAAGAGGAGACAGGGACCGCCAAGGCCAAAGCACAGUUUUACCGAGUGAACCUGCGGACCCUGAGCGGCUACUACAACCAGAGUGAGGCCUGUGAGUGACACCGGCCGGGGGCGCAGGUCACUACCCCUCCACAUCCCCCACGGACCGCCCGGGUCUCCCCGAGUCUCUGGGUCCGAGAUCCACGCCGAGGCAGCGGGACCUGGAGACCCUUGACCCGGGAGAGGCCCAGGAGCCGUUACCCGGUUUCAUUUUCAGCCAAAAUCCCCGCAGGGGCUGCCAGCCACACAGAGUCAUGGACAGGUCUCUACAGACACAACUUAGUGCCAGCUUGGAUGAAACCCUCUGAGGAAUGGGUGCCAUCUUUCAGGAUGUGGUGCAUGUAUUGAAUCAAAGAUGUCUCUAUAGUGCUGUGUUUACAGAAGGAAGAAUACGUGGGUCCAAAAACCAAGAAGUAGAAGCAGGGAUGUUUGAAUAGUAUGUGUCCAGAUACAAGCAGGUGAGAAGAGGAGGAGGCAGGGCUGCUAUCACACAAGGAGGGCAGGAGAUGUGUGUGUGGAAAUAAGAGAUCCACUUGGAGACCUUAUGGUUCCCCUUGUCCUGUUGUAAGUGUGAGCAGAAUCAUCCAGCAACCCAGCCUGAGAGGGUUUCAUAUUCAAGAGCCCAGAACCCUCAGGAAGGAAGGAUUGAGUGAUACUCACAGGUAAUGUCCCAAGGCUGUGCUCCUGUGCUCUGACAUCCUCAGCAGGAUUGGUGCAAAGCCCUGCUUCCCAUGGGCUGUUCCCAGCCAGUGACUGGUCACAGCAGGCAUUAAGGCAAGCCAUUCCUGGGAGACACGGGACUCCUCUGAUGGCUAACUGUAGCUGGAAGACUCCUCCACGGCCUUGCUCAACUCUCCUUAGAUUGCCUGUGCUCUAGGAUGCGUCAAACAAACUUUCUCUCCUUCUGUCCAGCACUUGGGGUCACACUUGCAUCGUGGUCUGCCGCCUUUUCUCAGGGAUUUCUGGCUCACUUCCCAUAUUCCCUUACGGGUGUGUCCCCUUAUAAGAUGUCGCAGACUUUAAGCUCAUCUUGGCAUCUGCUCCUUGAAGGACUUGGACUAAAAAUUAUUUCCAUCUGCAUAUCAAUAACUCUUAUUCCAACCUGUAAAAUCCUUCUCUUUAUCCAACUUCUGCCACCCCCACAGAAUCUAUUUUACUUGUGUGUGUAGUAUCUCUUUGAGUUAACAGAUAUUUGUUCUAUUAAGCUACUAAAUUUUGAGGUAGUUUGUGACACAGUACUUGAUAACUAUUAAGGCUUUCUUAAGUUUCCAUUAUUCCAUGGAUAUUAUCUACAUAUCUUUUAAUCCCUUGCAUUUUAAUAACUUAGCUAUACUUGCUGUUUCCAACUCUUUCCUCCUAUUUUUGAACAUUUUAAAUUUUGUCUUUCUCUGUCCUUCCUUCCUUCUUUCCUCCUUUCCUCCCUCAGAGCUUUCUCCCUCCCUCCAUUUUUUUCAUAAACUCCAAGUGUUUAGGCCAAAAGGAAGCAUUAUUUGAACUUUAUGCUAAAAGUAUAAUGCCGUAAUUUAUAAUAUAAAAGUAAAGAAAAGGAAGUUGUUAAUGGAAUAUGAAAAAAUGCCUAGGGUGAUUCUAUAGCCAAGACAGUACCUUUUAACAUUUAAUUUCUGCCUCCAACUGAAUGUUUUCAGAACACAUGAGCAACACAAGCUCUUUCCCAUUCUUGGUACAAGCACUUGAGAAAUCAAAUUAGCCUUAUCUAGUAUGAUUAAUGUCCAUACAUCAUAUAAUCCCACCAUCUGCCUCCUGAUCAUACCCCCUGGGGACAUUCUUGGCUAUGUGUCCAGGAGACAUGUACACCAAUGUUUAUGGCAAAAACUGGAAACAAUCACAUAUACAUCAAUGGGAAUUAACAAAAUAGUCGUAUAAUAAUAAAAAGUAAAACUUCAGCAGCAACAGUGAAUGAACAGCACCCUCCCACAUCAGAGAUAACUCUCCUACACAUAACAUGCAUCAGCAUCACAGAAGAAUGCACAUUGUGUGAGUUCUCUGUACGGGGAAGUUAAAAAAAGCAGGUCAAACUGUGAUUUGGAUAUAUAUAUAUAUACUUAUUGUAAAAAUCUUUAGAGACAAUGAAAAGGAAUAGUAAAUACAAGACUCAAGAUAGAAGUUCCUUUUGGGGAAUAGAAUUGGACAACAGCCGAGGGUGGCUUCAUAGGUUUUGUUUUUUAUGCCAGGAGGGGAUGUCCAGGUAGUUAAGUUACUUGAUCAUAAAUCUUUCUUUCUUUCUUUCUUUCUUUCUUUCUUUCUUUCUUUUUUUUUUUUUUUUUUUUUUUGAGACGGAGUCUCGCUCUGUCGCCCAGGCUGGAGUGCAGUGGCGUGAUCUCAGUUCACUGCAACCUCCGCCUCCCAGGUUCAAGCAAUUCUCCUACCUCAGCCUCCUGAGUAGCUGGAAUUAUAGGCAUCCACCACGACACCCAGCCCUGGGGGAAGCUGGCUGUUGUGUCAUAAGGAGGCCUGUGGUCCAUGUGACUAGGAAGUGAGUCCUCCUGGGACCAGACAAUAAGAAGCUAAAGCCUCUUCCAAAAGCCAUGUGAGAGAUUCUUGUGUCUUGUGAAUCCCCAGCCCCAUUUGAGCCCUCAGAUGAUUCAGCCCUGGAAGACAACUAGACUGCAACGUUGUGAGAGGCCCUGAGCCAGAAGCAUUCAGAGAAACUUCUCCUGGAUUCCUGACCAUGGAUAACUGUGGGAGAUGAUAAAUAUUUGUUGAUUUGAGCUGCUAAGUUGUAGGUGACUUGUUAUGCAGCAGUAGAUAACUAAUACAGCUUCACAAGAGAGGAUGAAUCACUGAACUUUUUCAUUUGCUCUAAAUUCAUUAUAAGAUAUUAAACAUGUCAUUUGCUUUUAAUAUUUAAUAAAAAUUUCCAUGGCUAUAUAAGAUA
ensembl:lncRNA HLA-V major histocompatibility complex, class I, V (pseudogene)